CGAGUAUGAAAGGGAGCUCCAUGUUGUGUGCGGCUUCAUAAAUACGGAAAAGUUUAAUUGAAAGAUUAACGAUUCUAUUAAAAAAAAAAAAAAAAAAAAUCUAUUAUUCUAUAGAUAAAUAUAUGUUAAUCUAUAAUUAUUAAAUACCGAUUAAUAAUAUAUAUAAUUAUUAUUAAAUAUAAUUAUUAUAAUUAUUAAAUAGUAAAUUAAAUUAAUUACAAUUAUAGAAAUCCAUUAAUCUAUAGAUUGUAAUAAAAUAAAAUGAAACUUAAUCAAAGUAUCCGUAAAACGACUCGUUACUGAAGGUAAUUUAAGAACAUUAUCAUCAUGAGGAGGAAGAAGAAGAAGAAGAAACUGCUCCUGCGGGAUCAGACUAUUGAUUAUAGUCUGACUGUCUAGUGGAUCGACUAGUGUCAAGACUCUUCGCCAGUGUGUCGUGCGAUAUACUGUAUGUGUUUUAUGUACUGUGUAAUUAUACACUGUGGCUAGAUACUGUAAUUAUAUACUGUAACUGUGACGAAAAUGCUACUAGCAACAGUGACAAAAAACUGAUGUCGUUAAGAAACAGUUUUGAACAGUUUGAAAAACAGUCCGAAAAACAGUUGUAUGCAUAACAAAUGUGUGCAUAAAAAAUAUGUGCAUGAAAAAUGAAAACUUUAGUGGGAUGAACUUCUAUUUGCAUAUCGUUAAUAAAAUUAAACGAUGCCGAAGUCUUCCUCAAGAGAGAACGAAAUUAUCAUCAUGAGAAGAAAGAAGAAGAUACUGUUCCUGCCGAUUCAAGCUAUUGGUUCCACCAUCUAAUGGAUCGAGGCAGUGUCAAGAUUCUUCGCAUGUGUUUUCGUCAAGUGUUUCGAUACCGUAGUUGUGAUCAGACUUUAUAAUAUUAGCGACGCGGCUUUAUAAUAUAACGAACAGUUUUGAACGUUUUCGAAAAAAUGUCGGAUGUGCCGUGUGAUUAAUAAGGAAAAGUAUAAUUGAACUUUUAUUCGCAAAUCGUAAAUAAAAUUAAACGAUACCGAUACCUCAAACGGCGCAUCAUGAACAAUAAUGUGAGAACGAGAUCAUCAUGAGAAGAAAGAUGACGCAACCGUCGCUGCCGAUUCGACUAUUGAUUACAACGUCUAAUGUGAGUAAUUCGAAACAUUCUAGUAAUUUAUAAAUUGCUAGAAAUAAAAUAAGAAGAAUGUUUUCCCCUCAACUUAAUAUUUAACGAACGUAUAGAAUUACACGAAAUAACUUUAGUAUCACAUCAUUUAAAAAUUAGAUUAUGUUAUUUAUAAUUAGAUUAUAUCCGAUAAAGCGCUAUAAUAAUGAUAAUAAUAAAUACGCUUCACUCAGACUUUUAAGAAAUGUUCUCAAAUCUCUAUGCUCAAGUAAAAAAUCUAAAGCCGAUUAGAGAAAAUGAAGUAUUAAGUCUAUUUCUCAUUUUUCAUAAAAAUUUUCAAGUCAAUGAAAUAAUCCAUGAAUUUUAUAUUUAUCAAUUCUAAAACAUUUAAAUAUCCUUCAUUUUAAAACGUUGUAAACAUUUAAUAAAAGGAGCUUACAUAAAACAUCGAUACUACACAGAAACAGACACAGCACAGAUACAGACAUUACACAAAUUAUACGCAUUAAAAGAACAUUUCUCGACUGCGAAACAUCGUACUGAGAUAAAUCGGAUAUAAGUAAUAUUAAGAAAGAAAUGUAUAUAAACCUAUCUGUAGACAAUCUUUUCAUUUAAAAAGAAUUUCUUUUGCUUUUCCCCUUUUUUUUUAAUUUCAAUCAAUCUCUUCUUAAUUUUUCUGUAAUUUAAAUUUUUUUAAUGUUUACAUAAAUGUAAUGUGUAAUAUGUAAUAUACAUAUAGAAGUAUUAUACUUAUAAAUUAAUAAUUAAACGCAAACAUAUAUACAUAUAUAUAUAUAUAUAUAUAAAUACAUCAAUCUACUCAACCAAGAUAUAUUCUACGAUUUAAUAUAUAAAUUAAUAUAUCAGACGUUUUCGAACAAAUCAUUUUUCUGAAUUUUUACGUAUAAUUCAAUGUGUUAAUGAUAAAUUAAUGAAUUAAUUAAUAAUCUUAAUAAAUUAAUUUAUAAUUUAUAGAGAAUAAAAUUACUAUUUAAUAGAAAUUUUUGAUUGUAUACUAUUCUGUAAGCAAAAAUUGCAAAAAAUCCUGUAUUAUAAUAGAAAAAUGUUGUGACACUCCAUACAGAGUAUCUCAAAUACUUCUACAACAUUUCUAAAACAUUCCGGGACUUAUACUCAAAUUUAAACGCAUCCAAAGAUUCUAGAUCAAAUUUAAAUUCGGAUUAUAUGGAGGUCGUUUAAGCCUGCUAACAGUAUUUUGAUUUAAACGAUUUUGCGCGACACGAGACGAGGCUUAGGAUCACUACCACAUUGAAAUAUCCAACUACUGUCCAUAACAAACUUUGCGAAGAGCAUCAUGUCGGUUUUUAAUACUUCGAUGUAUUAUUAUUCUUCCAUAAUAUUUUUAAUUUGCGCCAUGAACGGCUCAAGAUCUUGACCAAAAAUGGAAGCUUGGAUCAAGAUAUUCUUACUUUUGUAUUUUGUUGUUAGGAUCUAACAAAGAAUGUCCCGUCUCUUACUUUUGUGUAGCUAAUACCCAACAAAUUACGUCGCGAUCAAAUAAUCUGAAUUAGACGACACCAUUAAAUAGCACAUUGAAUUAACAAUCAAUUGACCUAUGAGGGACUUCCUAAAGCAAUUUUAAAUCAAUUUUUUUUUGUAAAGGUUUAUGCCGCAUAAUCCGAAAUUUUUAAUUUUUUAUUCAAUAAAAGCCGCCGUAAAAAUAAAUUUUCAAAUUGUCCAGUGUGUAAUUAAACGCUUGAAAAAUUCCAGAAAAUUCCACGUAAAAUUUAAAAAGAAAAAAAAAAAACGGAACAGUGGGCACCGUGGCGUAAAAAGAAGAAUUAUUAUUAUUCGGCAGAAGAAUUAUUCUUUCCGCCGAAGUACCAGACAAACGUAAUCAGACAAAUGUUCAUGUUUUUAUAUUUUUGUGUACCUUAAAUAAAAAGAAUCAUAUUCAAGAAAAUCUUAAAUAUAUUUUGAAUAUAUGAGUAAAAGAAUGGAAAGACCAUAACGGCAUUAAACGAUAGGCCAACAUUACCUGUUAUUUGAAAAUUACGAAAUAAUUUGCGUAUAAUAUUAGAACGCAAUUUCUAGCCCGAUGCCACUUAAAUGAGUCAUCAAAGUUCUUACGACGGAAAAAACAUCUAUCACACAAGAUAAAAAAUACAAUGUUUGUUGUUUACUUAAUCGCAAAAGUAUGCAAUUUUGAAAGUUUGAAGGAAAAAUGAUGAUUUAUAGAAAAUAUAUAUGAACUUUGUUUAACAUCUUUCGGAUUAUAUGGAGAACGUGACGUUAGAACGGCACUAAUUACAAAAAAAAUUGAUUGACUCGAUUCGUAUUUGCUCUAAGAAAUCCAACAUUGGUUAAUUGAUUAUUAAUACAAUGUGCUUUUUAAUGAUGUCCGCUAAUUCAGAUUAUUCGGCCACGAUGUAAUUUGAUGCGUACGAGCAACACAAAAGUAAAAGACUGGACAUUCUUUGUUAAAUCUUAACAACAAAAUACAAGAGUAAGAAUAUCUUGAUCCUAGCAUCCAUUCUUGGUCAAGAUGUUGAGCCGUUCAUGGCGCAAAUUAAAAAUAUUAUGGAAGAAUUAUUAAUACAUCGAAGUAUUAAAAACCGACAUGAUGCUCUUCGCAAAGUUUGUUAUGGACAGUAGUUGGAUAUUUCAAUGUGGUAGUGAUCCUAAGCCUCGUCUCGUGUCGCGCAAAAUCGUUUAAAUCAAAAUACUGUUAGCAGGCUUAAACGACCUCCAUAUAAUCCGAAUUUAAAUUUGAUCUAGAAUCUUUGGUAGCAUUUAAACUUGAGUAUUAAUGACGGAAAGUUUUAGAAAUAUUGCAGAAAUAUUUAAGAUACUCUAUGCAGAGCGACACAACAUUUCGCAGAUUAUUACACAAAACCUUUUGAAAUUUAUGCUUAAAAAAUUGCAUACCUUUACAUAUUACAUCAAAUAUUCAAAAGUAAUUUAUUAUAUAUUAAAGAUAUAUUAUAUAUAUAUAUAUAUAUAUAUAUUAUAAUUAUUUAUUAAACAUUUAACUAAUAACAUUAAUUUAAGAACGGAGAAUUAUAUAUAUAUAUAUUAUAUAAAAUACAUAAAAAAAUAUAUGAACAUUUAAUAAUAUGAAAGAUAUUGUCAGUACGAACAUGUCUGGAUCUUCUUGAUUUUCUACUGACUCAUGCCGAACUCAUGAAAACGAUAUUCUAUGCAAAGGAUAUUUUACUAAAUAGUAAUGUAUUGUAUCGUUUAGCCGAUAAAUUAUAUCAAUAUACGUUUUUUUUUUAUAAUUUUUGUAACAUUUAAGUUUUUUGUGAAGGUUUUGCCAAUUAUAUUUUUACUUCUUUCGAAAUAUAUAUCAUGUUAAAUGUCAUGUAAUCUACUCAUAUAAAUAAUUUGUCGUCUUUCCCUCUAUAAAUCAAUUAUUUUAAUAUGAAUACAUUAAAUUGAUUGAAAAAAAAUUUAAGAAAAUCGUUUGUCUAAGUACAUUUUUGUCUGGUAGUGUUUAGGUGUGUGUGUGUGUGUGUGUGUGUGUAGUGGGUCUUUCGAUUUAUUAAAUAUUUAAAAAUGAUUAAAAUAUAUAUAUACACAAAGAACAUAUAUCGGGUUUUCAUCUUUUUUAAAUACUUAUAAAUUUUUAGCGUUUUGAAUAAUAAUAGAUAGCAAAAUACGUACAAGCUAAUAAAUUAAGAUAUAUAAAUAAGCAAAUUGUUAUAAAUACUAACAUGUUAUUUGAUGUCGUAUUGUUACUUGACUCUUCCUUCAUUUUCACAGCGUGUAUCACGGAACGCGUGCAAUGUAUGAAUUUCUGAAAAAUUGUCACGAAACUCUGAAAAAAUAAUGAAAAGGAUUAUAUUAGUUUAGGUAUAUGUAGGAAAAAAUAUUAUAUAAAAAUAAAAAUAUUAAGUUAAUUGUAAAGAAAAUGGAAGGACUAGCUAAAAUAUUUCUCGUACUUAUCUAAUCAUACUUAUCUCAUCCUAAUUAUCUAACAUUUUGAAUUAAAUUUCACAUUUUAUUAUAACAUUUCUACAUAACAUAUUUACUACUUAUAUUGAAACUUAUACGAAACGUUUCUUGGUAUUACUCAAACAUAAAUAAUCAAAUUUGAUAAAACUGCCGCGCUUUAAAAGGCGGCUUUUCAUUGAAUAUUUUUGUAAUUAUAAUGAUAUAGAAUUUUGCAAUAAUUUUAUAUACGUAUUUGUCAGUUACAUAGUAUUCAGUACAAUAGUAUUUGUGUAUUUAUUUCAGAAUACGUGAUAUUCUUACUGCAGAAACGGACAAAUAUAUAUUUGUAAUGUUUUUGUUUAUUGUUAUUUGCAUUUGUAUUUAUCUUCAUUUAGUUGUAUGCACCUAUUAUAUUAUUUAUCUUUAUCUUUUACUACGAUCUUAAAUAUUUUUAUAAAAUAAAAAUUAACGUUGCGUAUAUAUUCUAUAGAUAGAAUAUAUAUAUAUAUAUAUAUAUAUAUUAAUAUUAGUGAUACGUAGUUUGUUAUAAAUAAUUAAACGUUAUAAUAAUAAUAAAUAUAUCUUAAUAAACUUUACUAAAACUUUUAAUAAAUACUGAAAUUUAUAUUUUCGUGUAAAAACAGUUAAUUAUAAUUAAUAAAAAAGAAGUAUAUAGUAGAAGAAUAUAGUAAUAUAGUAUAAUGAAACAAUUUAUAUUUGAGUUAAAACACCAAGAAACGUUUUUCUAUUAACGAAUCACUAUUAACAUUACUACAAAUCAAUUAGAAUUACUAUUAACAUUACUACAAAUUAUGUUAUGUUACACAAAUUAUAUAUGAGGAUGACAAAUUAUAUUAACUACAAAUUGAGUGAUACGUAGUUUGUUAUAAAUAAAUAAACGUUAUAACAAUAAUAAAUAUAUCUUAAUAAACUUUACUAAAACUUUUAAUAAAUACUGAAAUUUAUAUUUUCGUGUAAAAACAUUAAAACUAAUUAGAAAACAACUCGCAUUAUAAGAUUGCCAUGUAUAUUUAACCAAUAUUUUUAAGUUAAUGAGUCAUAUUAAAAAAGUCAAAUUAAAAAUAUUCAAAAAUGAAUUAUAUUAAAAAAGUCAUAUUAAAAAUAUUCAAACAUUUUUUUACAUUUUAAAGAGAACCAAAUAUUUACUACGAGUUGCGAUCAUAAAUUUAAUAAAACAUACGUAUCACAUACUACACAGACAUAUAUAUAUAUAUAUAUAUAUAUAUAUAUAUAUAUAUAUAUAUAAGAUACACGUUACAAAUAUUAUUAUAUAUAUUAUGUGAUUAUUAUUAUUAUUUUUUUUUUAAUUUAUUUUUUCAUUCUUUUAUUAUUUUAUACUAUUUCAUUUUCUUUUUUUCGUUUUACUUCUUUAUUUGGUUUGUUUUUUAUUUCACACAUCAUUUUUACCAAUGAAUUAUGUAUAUAAAUAUGUAAUGAUAAAAAUAAGGUUUUUGAUAUCAUUAUGUUAUAUUAUUGAGACCAAUUAUAUGUAUUAAAAUAAACUCUUUUAAUAAUAUAUAUAUAUAUAUUUAAAUAAAAUUAAUUAUAUAUUAAUAUAUAUAUAUAUAUUCUAUCUAUAGAAUAUAUACGCAACGUUAAUUUUUAUUUUAUGAAAAUAUUUAAGAUCGAAGUAAAAGAUAAAGAUAAAUAAUAUAAUAGGUGCAGACAACUAAAUGAAGAUAAAUACAAAUACAAAUAACAAUAAACAAAAACAUUACAAAUAUAUAUUUGUCCGUUUCUGCAGUAAGAAUAUCACGUAUUCUGAAAUAAAUAAACGAAUUACUAUAAUUCGAAUAAAUAUAUAAAUUACUAUUGUACUGAAUACUAUGUAACUGACAAAUACGUAUGUAAAAUUAUUGCAAAAUUCUAUAUCAUUAUAAAUUACACUUUCUGAAAUAUGGCUUAAAAUAAUAAUAAAAGACUAUAUAACUUUCUGUAGCGUAUUGCAUGUACCGUAAUAUAUCGUAAUAUUGUAGAGAAAAUUGCGUAAAACAGUGUAUUCCGAUGUAUGUCUAUAACACAACUUACAUAUACGUGUAUACAACUAUACAAUUAUAGCACAUUGUAUGAAAAAAGAAAAAUUUAUGAAAAUAAAUGUUUGUGUAUGCUAUUAAA